GACGAACGCUGGCGGCGUGCUUAACACAUGCAAGUCGAACGGAAAGGCCCUGCUUUUGUGGGGUGCUCGAGUGGCGAACGGGUGAGUAACACGUGAGUAACCUGCCCUUGACUUUGGGAUAACUUCAGGAAACUGGGGCUAAUACCGGAUAGGAGCUCCUGCUGCAUGGUGGGGGUUGGAAAGUUUCGGCGGUUGGGGAUGGACUCGCGGCUUAUCAGCUUGUUGGUGGGGUAGUGGCUUACCAAGGCUUUGACGGGUAGCCGGCCUGAGAGGGUGACCGGCAACAUUGGGACUGAGAUACGGGCCAGACUCCUACGGGAGGCAGCAGUGGGGAAUAUUGCACAACGGGCGGAAGCCUGAUGCAGCAACGCCGCGUGCGGGAUGACGGCCUUCGGGUUGUAAACCGCUUUCGCCUGUGACGAAGCGUGAGUGACGGUAAUGGGUAAAGAAGCACCGGCUAACUACGUG
rnacentral:rRNA from 1 species